AGCAUCGAACAGAGAUAGCAUAUGCUUCAUCCCAUAUAACACUGGGUACCAUUGGAUCUUGACUAUAAUUAAUGAAGAUAAGAAUAUGAUAUAUUUAUUGGACUCUUUAAGUAACAGGAACCGAGAUCAUGCUUGGCAAACUAUUGUGACCAAUGGGGUCAAGAUAUACAAUGCAUCAAUGA